rnacentral:rRNA from 1 species
AGUGAACGCUGGCGGUAGGCCUAACACAUGCAAGUCGAACGGCAGCACAGAGGAGCUUGCUCCUUGGGUGGCGAGUGGCGGACGGGUGAGGAAUACAUCGGAAUCUACUCAGUCGUGGGGGAUAACGUAGGGAAACUUACGCUAAUACCGCAUACGACCUACGGGUGAAAGCAGGGGACCUUCGGGCCUUGCGCGAUUGAAUGAGCCGAUGUCGGAUUAGCUAGUUGGCGGGGUAAAGGCCGACCAAGGCGACGAUCCGUAGCUGGUCUGGGAGGAUGAGCAGCCACACUGGAACUGAGACACGGUCCAGACUCCUACGGGAGGCAGCAGUGGGGAAGAUUGGACAAUGGGCGCAAGCCUGAUUCAGCCAUACCGCGUGGGUGAAGAAGGCCUUCGGGUUGUAAAGCCCUUUUGUUGGGAAAGAAAUCCAGCUGGCUAAUACCCGGUUGGGAUGACGGUACCCAAAGAAUAAGCACCGGCUAACUUCGUGCCAGCCGCCGCAGUAA